rnacentral:rRNA from 1 species
UACGGAGGGUGCAAACGUUGCUCGGAAUCAUUGGGCGUAAAGCGCACGUAGGUGGCCUGUUAAGUCGGGUGUGAAAUCCCUGGGCUCAACCCAGGAAGUGCACUCGAAACUGGCAGGCUUGAGUACUGAAGAGGGUCGCGGAAUUCCCGGUGUAGAGGUGAAAUUCGUAGAUAUCGGGAGGAACACCAGUGGCGAAGGCGGCGGACCUGGGCAGAUACUGACACUGAGGUGCGAAAGCGUGGGGAGCAAACAGG